AAACUGAAGAGUUUGAUCCUGGCUCAGAUUGAACGCUGGCGGUAUGCUUAACACAUGCAAGUCGAACGGAAACGAUACUAGCUUGCUAGUAGGCGUCGAGUGGCGGACGGGUGAGUAACGCGUAGGAAUCUGCCUGAUAGUGGGGGAUAGCCCGAAGAAAUUCGGAUUAAUACCGCAUAAUCUAUUCGUAGUAAAGUGGGGGACUUUCGAGCCUCACGCUAUCAGAUGAGCCUGCGUAAGAUUAGCUUGUUGGUAGGGUAAAAGCCUACCAAGGCGACGAUCUUUAGCUGGUCUGAGAGGAUGAUCAGCCACAUCGGGACUGAGACACGGCCCGAACUCCUACGGGAGGCAGCAGUGGGGAAUAUUGGACAAUGGGGGCAACCCUGAUCCAGCAAUACCGCGUGUGUGAAGAAGGCCUGAGGGUUGUAAAGCACUUUCAAUUGUGAAGAAAAGUUAGCGGUUAAUAACCGUUAGCCUUGACGUUAACUUUAGAAGAAGCACCGGCUAACUCCGUGCCAGCAGCCGCGGUAAUACGGAGGGUGCAAGCGUUAAUCGGAAUUACUGGGCGUAAAGCGCGCGUAGGUGGUUUGUUAAGUUGGAUGUGAAAGCCCUGGGCUCAACCUAGGAACUGCAUCCAAAACUAACUCACUAGAGUACGAUAGAGGGAGGUAGAAUUCAUAGUGUAGCGGUGGAAUGCGUAGAUAUUAUGAAGAAUACCAGUGGCGAAGGCGGCCUCCUGGAUCUGUACUGACACUGAGGUGCGAAAGCGUGGGUAGCGAACAGGAUUAGAUACCCUGGUAGUCCACGCCGUAAACGAUGACAACUAGCUGUUGGGAGGCUAUGUCUUUCAGUGGCGCAGCUAACGCUUUAAGUUGUCCGCCUGGGGAGUACGGCCGCAAGGCUAAAACUCAAAUGAAUUGACGGGGACCCGCACAAGCGGUGGAGCAUGUGGUUUAAUUCGAUGCAACGCGAA
rnacentral:rRNA from 1 species